rnacentral:rRNA from 1 species
GACGAACGCUGGCGGCGUGCUUAACACAUGCAAGUCGAACGGAAAGGCCCUGCUCUUGUGGGGUGCUCGAGUGGCGAACGGGUGUGUAACACGCGAGUAACCUGCCCCUGACUUUGUGAUAACUCUAGGAAACUGGGGCGAAUACCGGAUAGGAUCUCCUGCUGCAUGUUGGUGGUUGGAAAGUUUGGGCGGUAGGGGCUGGACUCGCGGCUUAUCAGCCUGUUGGUGGGGUAGUGGCUUACCAAGGGUUUGAAGGGUAGGCGGCCUGGGAGGGUGAACGGGCACAUUGGGACUGAGGUACGGCCCAGACUCCUACGGGAGGCAGCAGUGGGGAAUAUUGCACAGUGGGCGGAAGCCUGAUGCAGCAACGCCGCGUGCGGGAUGACGGCCUUCGGGUUGUAAACCGCUUUCGCCUGUGACGAAGCGUGAGUGACGGUAAUGGGUAAAGAAGCACCGGCUAACUACGUG